GACGAACGCUGGCGGCGUGCUUAACACAUGCAAGUCGAACGGAAAGGCCCUGCUUUUGUGGGGUGCUCGAGUGGCGAACGGGUGAGUAACACGUGAGUAACCUGCCCUUGACUUUGGGAUAACUUCAGGAAACUGGGGCUAAUACCGGAUAGGAGCUCCUGCUGCAUGGUGGGGGUUGGAAAGUUUCGGCGGUUGGGGAUGGACUCGCGGCUUAUCAGCUUGUUGGUGGGGUAGUGGCUUACCAAGGCUUUGACGGGUAGCCGGCCUGAGAGGGUGACCGGCCACAUUGGGACUGAGAUACGGCCCAGACUCCUACGGGAGGCAGCAGUGGGGAAUAUUGCACAAUGGGCGGAAGCCUGAUGCAGCAACGCCGCGUGCGGGAUGACGGCCUUCGGGUUGUAAACCGCUUUCGCCUGUGACGAAGCGUGAGUGACGGUAAUGGGUAAAGAAGCACCGGCUAACUACGUGCCAGCAGCCGCGGUGAUACGUAGGGUGCGAGCGUUGUCCGGAUUUAUUGGGCGUAAAGGGCUCGUAGGUGGUUGAUCGCGUCGGAAGUGUAAUCUUGGGGCUUAACCCUGAGCGUGCUUUCGAUACGGGUUGACUUGAGGAAGGUAGGGGAGAAUGGAAUUCCUGGUGGAGCGGUGGAAUGCGCAGAUAUCAGGAGGAACACCAGUGGCGAAGGCGGUUCUCUGGGCCUUUCCUGACGCUGAGGAGCGAAAGCGUGGGGAGCGAACAGGCUUAGAUACCAUGGUAGUCCACGCUGUAAACGGUGGGUACUAGGUGUGGGGUCCAUUCCACGGGUUCCGUGCCGUGGCUAACGCUUUAAGUACCCCGCCUGGGGAGUACGGCCGCAAGGCUAAAACUCAAAGGAAUUGACGGGGCCCCGCACAAGCGGCGGAGCAUGCGGAUUAAUUCGAUGCAACGCGUAGAACCUUACCUGGGUUUGACAUGGAUCGGGAGUGCUCAGAGAUGGGUGUGCCUCUUUUGGGGUCGGUUCACAGGUGGUGCAUGGCUGUCGUCAGCUCGUGUCGUGAGAUGUUGGGUUAAGUCCCGCAACGAGCGCAACCCUUGUUCACUGUUGCCAGCACGUUAUGGUGGGGACUCAGUGGAGACCGCCGGGGUCAACUCGGAGGAAGGUGGGGAUGACGUCAAGUCAUCAUGCCCCUUAUGUCCAGGGCUUCACGCAUGCUACAAUGGCUGGUACAGAGAGUGGCGAGCCUGUGAGGGUGAGCGAAUCUCGGAAAGUCGGUCUCAGUUCGGAUUGGGGUCUGCAACUCGACCUCAUGAAGUCGGAGUCGCUAGUAAUCGCAGAUCAGCAACGCUGCGGUGAAUACGUUCCCGGG
rnacentral:rRNA from 1 species